rnacentral:rRNA from 1 species
AGCGGGAUGCCUUACACAUGCAAGUCGAACGGAGUGGCGAACGGGUGAGUAAUGUAUCGGAACGUGCCCAGUAGCGGGGGAUAACUACGCGAAAGCGUAGCUAAUACCGCAUACUAUUGGAGCGGCCGAUAUCGGAUUAGCUAGUUGGUGGGGUAACGGCUCACCAAGGCGGCGAUCCGUAGCUGGUUUGAGAGGACGACCAGCCACACUGGGACUGAGACACGGCCCAGACUCCUACGGGAGGCAGCAGUGGGGAAUUUUGGACAAUGGGGGAAACCCUGAUCCAGCCAUCCCGCGUGUGCGAUGAAGGCCUUCGGGUUGUAAAGCACUUUUGGCAGGAAAGCGGUACCUGCAGAAUAAGCACCGGCUAACUACGUGCCAGCAGCCGCGGUAAUACGUAGGGUGCAAGCGUUAAUCGGAAUUACUGGGCGUAAAGCGUGCGCAGGCGGUUCGGAAAGAAAGAUGUGAAAUCCCAGAGCUUAACUUUGGAACUGCAUUUUUAACUACCGGGCUAGAGUGUGUCAGAGGGAGGUGGAAUUCCGCGUGUAGCAGUGAAAUGCGUAGAUAUGCGGAGGAACACCGAUGGCGA